GGAGAGGUACCGAAGUGGUCGUAACGGGGGCGCCUCGAAAGCGUCUUGUCGGGAAACCGGCACGUGGGUUCGAAUAAACUUCCGCAUUCGCUCCA
rnacentral:tRNA from 1 species